rnacentral:rRNA from 1 species
UGGGGAAUCUUGCGCAAUGGGCGAAAGCCUGACGCAGCAACGCCGCGUGGAGGAAGAAGGCCUUCGGGUUGUAAACUCCUGUCAGGGGGAAAGAAGGCACCUGGGUGAAUAGCCCAAGGGCUGACGGUACCCCCAGAGGAAGCCACGGCUAACUACGUGCCAGCAGCCGCGGUAAUACGUAGGUGGCGAGCGUUGUCCGGAAUUAUUGGGCGUAAAGAGCGAGUAGGCGGCUUGCCAGGUCCGACGUGAAACCCCGGGGGUCAACUCCGGACGUGCAUCGGAAACCGGCUUGCUAGAGUCUGGGAGAGGGGAGUGGAAUUCCUGGUGUGGCGGUGAAAUGCGCAGAUAUCAGGAGGGAUACCGGGAGCGAAGGCUGCUCCCUGGAACAGUACUGACGC